rnacentral:lncRNA from 1 species
GAAAUCAGCAGUCAGUUCACAGGUCAGCAGUGGCAGCUCGAUGCGCUCGCAAACACUUCACAGAUCAGAUACACCAGCAGUCCAGUUCUGAAGUGUCGGGAUAGCAACCAUGAAUCAGCAGUGGUAGCAGUACCUAGCAGAGACAGCCAGGCCUCAGCCUCAGCACACGUCAGCAGGAGGGACACCAGAAGGUCUUGGCUGUGCUUCUCUCAGCAAAGUGAAGGUCUGUGGAGAUGCAAGAGACUAAGAAGUGUUUAGCUUUGUAAGCAAGCCAAGCUCAGCCUCCGUCACUGUUGAGUCCUUUGUAUGCUUCCUUCAAACAUCACAUGUCCUCCACGGGUCUGGCCUCAACAUGCGCAUCCUUCUCAGCUGACUUCACUGCCAAUCAGCCAGACUCCGUGGAAGCAGCAAGAAACUGACACACCACCAGAAGUUUUUUGGUGCAUUUUUUCUCUAUGGAGUCCCAACAAAUGGAGCUCAACUACGCAAUGUAAGGCAGACCAAUACAUGCGUGUCAUUAGCGAAGAAUGACACAUCACAUGUCUUCAUCACGUCUUCAUCAGUUCCUGAUGGCUUCCCUCAGUGGACAUCUGUAUGCAAAGAGCCAUGAACUCUACUCACCCAAGCUGCUUUUGUUUAGUGUUUUAUCCUAACACAGAAAAGUAACUACAAUGAUAUAGAGCAAACUAGAAUACACCUGUGUGUGUGUGUGUGUGUGUGUUUUGUAUGAUAUGUGUAGAUACAUGUAGCCAUCACUGCCCCCCCCCAAUA